UACGAAAGGGGCUAGCGUUGUUCGGAAUUACUGGGCGUAAAGCGCACGUAGGCGGCCUUGUAAGAUGGGGGUGAAAUCCCCGGGCUAAACACGGGAACUGACUUCAUGACUGCAAAGCUAGAGGAUGCGAGAGGUUAGCGGAAUUCCGAGUGUAGAGGUGAAAUUCGUAGAUAUUCGGAAGAACACCAGUGGCGAAGGCGGCUAACUGGCGCAUUUCUGACGCUGAGGUGCGAAAGCGUGGGGAGCAAACAGG
rnacentral:rRNA from 1 species